rnacentral:rRNA from 1 species
GACGUAGGGGGCCAGCGUUGUUCGGAAUUACUGGGUGUAAAGGGUUCGUAGGCGGUGUGGCAAGUCGGGAGUGAAAUCUCUGGGCUCAACCCAGAGUCUGCUUCCGAAACUGCUGUGCUGGAGUGAUGAAGAGGUUUGUGGAAUUCCUGGUGUAGCGGUGAAAUGCGUUGAUAUCAGGAGGAACACCGAUGGCGAAGGCAGCAAACUGGUCAUCAACUGACGCUGAGGCGCGAAAGCGUGGGUAGCAAACAGG